rnacentral:rRNA from 1 species
GACGAACGCUGGCGGCGUGCUUAACACAUGCAAGUCGAACGGAAAGGCCCUGCUUUUGUGGGGUGCUCGAGUGGCGAACGGGUGAGUAACACGUGAGUAACCUGCCCUUGACUUUGGGAUAACUUCAGGUAACUGGGGCUAAUACCGGAUAGGAGCUCCUGCGGCAUGGUGGGGGUUGGAAAGUUUCGGCGGUUGGGGAUGGGCUCUCGGCUUAUUAGCUUGUGGGUGGGGUAGUGGCUUACCAAGGCUUUGACGGGUAGCCGGCCUGAGAGGGUGACCGGCCAAAUCGGGACUGAGAUACGGCACAGACUCCUACGGGAGGCAGCAGUGGAGAAUAUUGCACUAUGGGCGGAAGCCUGAUGCAGCAACGCCGCGUGCGGGAUGACGGCCUUCGGGUUGUAAACCGCUUUCGCCUGUGACGAAGCGUGAGUGACGGUAAUGGGUAAAGAAGCACCGGCUAACUACGUG